CCAGACUCCUACGGGAGGCAGCAGUGAGGAAUAUUGGUCAAUGGGCGAGAGCCUGAACCAGCCAAGUAGCGUGCGGGAUGAAGGCCCUUGUGGUCGUAAACCGCUUUUAUCAAUGAAUAAAGUGCACCACGUGUGGUGUCAUUGCAGGUACCUGAAGAAAAAGGACCGGCUAAUUCCGUGCCAGCAGCCGCGGUAAUACGGAAGGUCCGGGCGUUAUCCGGAAUUAUUGGGUUUAAAGGGAGCGCAGGCGGG
rnacentral:rRNA from 1 species